UUGUGAUGAUUCCUCGGGUUGAUGUUCCAAAUUGAAUUUUCGGGUUUUAUGAACACGGUGGGAUUAUUAGGGAUUUGGAUCUCAUCGAAAAAGAUUUUUUCGGAAUUAACGUGGCAAUAAGGAUGGCACCGGCACGAACCGAGGUACCACUAAAACAACAACCCCACAAGUCAAGGAUGAUAACAAAGGGAAAAGUACCGCUUCCACUGAACCAUCCUUAAGUGAUUUUCUUCAACCAAAGGAUUCACCAACAAAUCAAAAGAAAAACAACCCACCUGCAACAUCCCCGCACACAUACAACAUAAUCAAAGAAAUAGAGAAGACCCAUGGAUGUAUUGGUACAGUGUCCACACCACUAAACACCCCAGCUUACCAGCAAACUAACGAACAAGACGAUUGGGAGGACGAUGAACGGUGGAUAACCAGUAUGGACGAAAUCAAGGAGACAUUCAAACCUUUUUUAAAUUGAACAUACUAUCUCGUUCGACGUGGUUACCAUGGUCCCCCGAUUUAAAAUAAUUUGUCAAUGACUU
rnacentral:lncRNA from 1 species